AUUGAACGCUGGCGGCAGGCCUAACACAUGCAAGUCGAGCGGAUGAAGGGGGCUUGCUCCUGGAUUCAGCGGCGGACGGGUGAGUAAUGCCUAGGAAUCUGCCUGGUUGUGGGGGAUAACGUCCGGAAACGGGCGCUAAUACCGCAUACGUCCUGAGGGAGAAAGGGGGGGAUCUUCGGACCUCACGCUAUCAGAUGAGCCUAGGUCGGAUUAGCUAGUUGGUGGGGUAAAGGCCUACCAAGGCGACGAUCCGUAACUGGUCUGAGAGGAUGAUCAGUCACACUGGAACUGAGACACGGUCCAGACUCCUACGGGAGGCAGCAGUGGGGAAUAUUGGACAAUGGGCGAAAGCCUGAUCCAGCCAUGCCGCGUGUGUGAAGAAGGUCUUCGGAUUGUAAAGCACUUUAAGUUGGGAGGAAGGGCAGUAAGUUAAUACCUUGCUGUUUUGACGUUACCAACAGAAUAAGCACCGGCUAACUUCGUG
rnacentral:rRNA from 1 species